rnacentral:rRNA from 1 species
GAUGAACGCUGGCGGCGUGCCUAAUACAUGCAAGUCGAGCGAACAGAUAAGGAGCUUGCUCCUUUGACGUUAGCGGCGGACGGGUGAGUAACACGUGGAUAACCUACCUAUAAGACUGGGAUAACUUCGGGAGACCGGAGCUAAUACCGGAUAACAUAUUGAACCGCAUGGUUCAAUAGUGAAAGGCGGCUUUGCUGUCACUUAUAGAUGGAUCCGCGCCGUAUUAGCUAGUUGGUAAGGUAACGGCUUACCAAGGCAACGAUACGUAGCCGACCUGAGAGGGUGAUCGGCCACACUGGAACUGAGACACGGUCCAGACUCCUACGGGAGGCAGCAGUAGGGAAUCUUCCGCAAUGGGCGAAAGCCUGACGGAGCAACGCCGCGUGAGUGAUGAAGGUCUUCGGAUCGUAAAACUCUGUUAUCAGGGAAGAACAAAUGUGUAAGUAACUGUGCACAUCUUGACGGUACCUGAUCAGAAAGCCACGGCUAACUACGUG